rnacentral:rRNA from 1 species
GUAGUGACAAGAAAUAACAAUACAGGGCAUCCAUGUCUUGUAAUUGGAAUGAGUAAAAUUUAAAUCUCUCUACGAGUAUCAAUUGGAGGGCAAGUCUGGUGCCAGCAGCCGCGGUAAUUCCAGCUCCAAUAGCGUAUAUUAAAGUUGUUGCGGUUAAAAAGCUCGUAGUUGGAUUUCUGCCGAGGACAGUCGGUCCGCCCUUGCGGGUGAGCAUCUGAAUGGCCCUGGGCAUCUUUUCCGAAGACUGUAUCUGCACUUCAUUGUGUGGAGCGGUAUUCGGAACCUUUACUUUGAGGAAAUUAGAGUGUUUCAGGCAUGCGCUUGUGGUGAAUACAUUAGCAUGGAAUAAUAAGAUAGGACUCGUGGCCUACUUUGUUGGUUUGUGUGCCAUAGGUAAUGAUUAAUAGGGAUAGUUGGGGGCAUUAACAUCCAAUUGUCAGAGGUGAAAUUUCUGCACUUAUUAAAGACGUUCUACCGCCAAGUCAUUUGCCAACGAUCUUUUCAUUGAUCAAGAACGAAAGUUAGGGGAUCGCACUCGCCCCCACACUAUCCCUAUUAAUCGAUUUACUAUGGCACCCAACCAACGGGGGUAGGUCUCAUUAUGACUCCUUCAGCACCUUAUUCCAUGCUAAUGUAUUCGGGCUCUAGCGCAUGCCUGAUAACACGGCUGAACUCAAAGUAAAUUGACCGAAUGGGCACCACCAGGAGUGGACCUGCAGAUCCAGUCGACUCAAUUCGGAAAAGAUGCCCAGGGCCCAGACAUAGUAAGGAUUGACGAUUGAAUAGCUUUCUUGAUUCGGCAGGUGGUGGGUGCAUGGCCUUUUUAACCGGUGGAGUGACAUAUCUUUAAUAUACGCUAUGGAGCUGGAAUUACCGCCUGCUAAAUAGUGUCAUCUUGCCCUCCCAAAUCUGAUUAACUGUUAUAAGAGAAUU